rnacentral:rRNA from 1 species
GACGAACGCUGGCGGCGUGCUUAACACAUGCAAGUCGAACGGAAAGGCCCUGCUUUUGUGGGGUGCUCGAGUGGCGAACGGGUGAGUAACACGUGAGUAACCUGCCCUUGACUUUGGGAUAACUUCAGGAAACUGGGGCUAAUACCGGAUAGGAGCUCCUGCUGCAUGGUGGGGGUUGGAAAGUCUCGGCGGUUGGGGAUGGACUCGCGGCUUAUCAGCUUGUUGGUGGGGUAGUGGCUUACCAAGGCUUCGACGGGUAGCCGGCCUGAGAGGGUGACCGGCCACAUUGGGACUGAGAUACGGCCCAGACUCCUACGGGAGGCAGCAGUGGGGAAUAUUGCACAAUGGGCGGAAGCCUGAUGCAGCAACGCCGCGUGCGGGAUGACGGCCUUCGGGUUGUAAACCGCUUUCGCCUGUGACGAAGCGUGAGUGACGGUAAUGGGUAAAGAAGCACCGGCUAACUACGUG